rnacentral:rRNA from 1 species
UGGCGGACGGGUGAGUAAUGCUUAGGAAUCUGCCCAGUAGUGGGGGACAACACGGGGAAACUCGUGCUAAUACCGCAUACGCCUUACGAGGGAAAGUGGAGGAUCUUCGGACUUCACGCUAUUGGAUGAGCCUAAGUCGGAUUAGCUUGUUGGUGGGGUAAUGGCCUACCAAGGCGACGAUCCGUAGCUGGUCUGAGAGGACGAUCAGCCACACUGGGACUGAGACACGGCCCAGACUCCUACGGGAGGCAGCAGUGGGGAAUAUUGGACAAUGGGGGCAACCCUGAUCCAUCAAUGCCGCGUGUGUGAAGAAGGCCUGCGGGUUGUAAAGCACUUUCAGUAGAGAAGAAAAGCUUAGGGUUAAUACCCCUUAGUCUUGACGUAACCUACAGAAGAAGCACCGGCUAACUCCGUGCCAGCAGCCGCGGUAAU